ensembl:lncRNA
CUACAAAUUCAGGCGUUCCCAUGACUACCCUUGGAUUUGAUAAUUUGUUAGAACAACUCAUGAAAUUUAGGAAAGUGUUAUAUUUAGGAGUAUAAUUUUAUUAUAAUAAAAAGAUACAAAUUGGAGUCAGUCAAAGAUAGUUGCAAUCAGUAGAGUGGCAACUGAGAGGGUUCCAAACAUGAAGCUUCUGUAUCCUCAGGAUGCACUGCCUCCCAGCAUUGCAGGGCGACAGUACACAGGAGGACUGCCAACCAGGGAAGUUCACCCACGCUUCAGUGUCCAGAGGUUUUAUUGAGGCUUCCUUCCGGGCAUGAUGGAUUGAAUAAUUGCCCCCAUGGCUGAACUCAGUGUCCAGGCCCCCACCCCUCUCUCAUGGUCAGGCUGAUAUCACGUGGUCUAAAGCCCCAACCACAAUCACAUGGUUGGUCUUUCUGGAAUGGCCAGACCCCACCCAGGCUCAUCUCAUUAGCAUAAAUGAGAGGUCCACUUUGAAACCAUACUGAACUCUUCUCACUGUGGAAACUGCAAGAGUUUAGAGGUUACCUCCAAGGAGCCCUGACAAAGGCUGGAUCUCUCUUUAGGUGAGGCCGUAUUUCUUACCAUGCACUGUGGUAUGGCAAUUAGACUGAAUGAGAGCAAGUCUGGAGGCAGGCAAAGCAAUUAGGUGGUUGCUGUAGACAUCCAAGGAAGAGAACAUGGUGGCCUAGACCAAGGAACGGCAGAGGGGGUGGGAAGAAAUAGAGGGAUUUCAGAUGCAGAAGGAUGGAAUAUCAGGACUUGGUGAUUGGGUGGAUAAGGGGCUUGAGGGAUGGGGAGGAGUCAAGGAUGAUGGGCAAGUGUCUGGCCUGGGUAAAUAGCUGGUUCAGGCCUGCUGUUUGCCAACAUCUCUGGAUUUUUAGUUUCUUGGUCAAUCAGUUUAACACGAUGUGUGGUACACAGUAAGCAUUCAGCAAAUAUUUGUUGAAUGAGCAAUGAAUGAACGGACCCAUCUUCCAGCAAAGGAGGAAGUGACUGGAUCCAGACUGCAAGCCAGGCUCAGUAAAUGUUUACUGUCCCCUUCUGAAACGGCCCCAAACGAGCUCACUCAUCUUCAGCAACUGGACAUUUUUACCGUCCGUGUGGGAUAUGUCCCAAGAUUGUGUAGACUAUGCUGACCGCGCCAGGAUACUACAAGCCCUGAUGCCCACUGAUUAUGACAUUCGUUUCCUCCACGAGGCCUGCUUUGACCUCUAGAACCCAGCAGAAACCGUCUUCCAAGCCCUCCACCUUAUCACCUGCAUGGAUCGCGUCCUGCUGUGCUGGGUUCACUACAAUAUGUGGGCACCUAGAUACAUCAUAGCGAAAAUGCAAGUUCCUAUAGCUCCAUAUCUAGAGUUCUUGGUGAAGUCUAACUUUAAUACUGGAAAACUUCAGGCGCUCUGGCCCUCUAGAUGCCCAGCCACCCCAGCCUUGUCAUCUGGAGUGACCAGACCCUCUCUGGGAGGUGUGUGGCUGGUGGUUACGAACUCAGCCUCAAACCAAACCAUGUGGGUUUAUUUCCUGCCUUGACCAGCUCUGAGUCCACAUCCCUGAGCCCAGACCCUGUGCUAAACUUGCCUUGACUCCGCCCCUUGCACUUCUGGGGACUCAAAUUUUGUUCCUGAGCUCUAUUUCCUUGCUGAAUCCCCUCUCUCAGAAAGCCUGCCUGAACCCCUUAUUUCUUGUUUAGAAAAUUUGUCUCCUAACCUAGGAGUUGGCAAACCAUGGCCUGUGAGCCAUAUCUGGCCCACCGCCUGUUCUUGUAAAUAAAGUUUUAUUGCGACACAGCCAUUCUCAUGCAUUUACACAUGGUCUGUGGCUGCUUUCCUGGCACAACAGCAGCUGAGUAGUUGUGACAGAGGAAAUAUGGCCCUCCAGUCUAAAACAUUCACUAUCUGGCCCUUGACUGAAAAAGUUUAGUGUUCCUUGUCUGUGUGGGUUGAAUUAUGUCCUCUGAAAAAGAUGUGUUGAAUCUCCAGUACCUCAGCAUGUGGCCUUGUUUGGAAAUAGCAUUGUUAUAGAAGUAAUCACAUUAAAAUGAGGUCAUGAGGGUGAGCCCAAAUCCGAUAUGACUACUGUCCUUAUAAAAAUGGGAAAUUUGGACACAGAGUGUAUUAGCUAUGUUUUCUUAUUUUCUGCAUUUUUGAUGCUCUGGCAUCUGGGGCUUUGGUGACUGGAGUGGGACUGCCCCUCCCAGGGCUAGCCAGUCCCUAGAGAUAGCAAAUGACUUGCACAGAACCACACCCUUCAUGCAUCCUCACCCAUCUGGAGCCCAUUCUCCAAACCACCUCCUCUGUCUGGCUCUUACGCUCCAGGAGGCAAUGGCAAUAUUCCUAAUCACCCAAGGGCAGCAUGGGACCACUAGGAGCACCCCCACAGCCCAGAGCCUGCUGACAUUAUUCAACCCAUCCAAUCCGAAACCUGCUCAGCUUGCGCACCUUGUUUUCCUCCUUCCUUCCCAUGAAAACCACAAUAAGGACUCCUGCCCACACUUUCUCCUCGCUCCUUCUGCCUCCUCACCAGCGCUGCUGCUUCCCUCUGUGGCCCUGCGUGGCAUGCUGUGCCCCCUCCUCGUGGGAACUAUGAGUAACAAACUAUCUUUUCAAAGACAAUCGUCUCCUGAUCUGUUGGGCUCACCAUACCUGAAUAAAACCAAAAUCACAGACACAUUUCAAAACACAGAGACAGAGACACUCAGAGGGAAAGUAACAUAAAGACACAGAGAAAGCGCCAUGUGAAGACGGAAGAGUGAAGUGAUGUAUCUGUAAGCCAAAGAACACUCAAGGCUACCAGAAGCUGGAAGAAAAGCGUGGAACAGUUCCUUCCCUAGCACCUUCAGAGGGAGCACGGCCCUGCCAACACCUUGAUUUUGGACUUCUGGCCUCUGGAAUGUGAGACAAUAAAUUUCUGUUGUUUGAAGCCACUAAGUUUGUAGUAUUUUGUUAUGGCAGCCUAGGAGGCCAAUACACCACCUAACCAAUUAUUUUGUUUUGUUUUCUUUAUUUCUCGUUGUUCUCCUAUUGACACUUUUGUAUGGUGUCUUACUGUCAUUUCAUGGUGACCCUCACACACAUUAUUGCAUUUGGGUCUUGUGAGGUAGGUAGGCCAAUGGGCAGCCCGUUUAACCCAAGACCGAGGCUCAGAGAUUUCGGGGCACUUGCACAAGUUCACCCCACAAGGCAGUAAAUGGGGAAAAAAACUAGUUUCUACUGAGGGCUCGUUAUGUGCUUUCCUCACAUUGUCUCAGGACACCUAUACAACCGACCUGAGGGUUAGUUGCUGAGCAAUUAUACUAAUAAUCAGACAACCAUCAAUGUGAAAAGGAUGCUUUCUUCUCUCCUCACUUCCCCCUGUCUCUACUUGGCAUCUCAAGGCAGAGUGUGAAGGAGGUCAGACAUCCACAGCACUGUACCGUCCCGAGUGGAACCAGCCUUCACUGACUGGACCACCUAGGGAAGUGGUUUCCUCAGAGGGCAAUACCGAACCUUCCAGUGUGUAGUAAAACAGGACAAGAGAACUCCAGAGACCCCUUCUGCUGCCCCCAUGGGCUGUGUGGGGGUCCGAGGAGGGGAGAGUGGGGAGAGGUCUGAGGCUAUUCCAGCGUGUAACGCUGGCGUGAAAGCUGGAGCUGGUUCUGGUCAAGGCUUGGUCUGGACGCCGUGCAUGCCCCCGACCUCUGACGCCAGGUGCCCCUUGAAUCUCCUGAGGUCCCUGCAGCUGUGUUCUCUGUUUCUUCCUUGUCCAGUUGUUACAGCUUCUUCCACA